AUGCGUUGUUGGGUAGGGGAGCGUUCUGUAAGCCUGUGAAGGUGUACUGUGAGGUAUGCUGGAGGUAUCAGAAGUGCGAAUGCUGACAUAAGUAACGAUAAAGCGGGUGAAAAGCCCGCUCGCCGGAAGACCAAGGGUUCCUGUCCAACGUUAAUCGGGGCAGGGUGAGUCGACCCCUAAGGCGAGGCCGAAAGGCGUAGUCGAUGGGAAACAGGUUAAUAUUCCUGUACUUGGUGUUACUGCGAAGGGGGGACGGAGAAGGCUAUGUUGGCCGGGCGACGGUUGUCCCGGUUUAAGCGUGUAGGCUGGUUUUCCAGGCAAAUCCGGAAAAUCAAGGCUGAGGCGUGAUGACGAGGCACUACGGUGCUGAAGCAACAAAUGCCCUGCUUCCAGGAAAAGCCUCUAAGCAUCAGGUAACAUCAAAUCGUACCCCAAACCGACACAGGUGGUCAGGUAGAGAAUACCAAGGCGCUUGAGAGAACUCGGGUGAAGGAACUAGGCAAAAUGGUGCCGUAACUUCGGGAGAAGGCACGCUGAUAUGUAGGUGAAGUCCCUCGCGGAUGGAGCUGAAAUCAGUCGAAGAUACCAGCUGGCUGCAACUGUUUAUUAAAAACACAGCACUGUGCAAACACGAAAGUGGACGUAUACGGUGUGACGCCUGCCCGGUGCCGGAAGGUUAAUUGAUGGGGU
rnacentral:rRNA from 1 species